UACAGAGGGUGCAAGCGUUAAUCGGAGUUACUGGGCGUAAAGGGCGCGUAGGUAGUUUUAUAAGAGAGAGGUGAAAUCCCUGGGCUUAACCUAGGAACUGCUUUUCUGACUGUGAGACUAGAGUAUUGUAGAGGGUAGUGGAAUUUCCGGUGUAGCGGUGAAAUGCGUAGAGAUCGGAAGGAACACCAGUGGCGAAGGCGGCUACCUGGACAAAUACUGACACUGAGGCGCGAGAGCGUGGGUAGCAAACAGG
rnacentral:rRNA from 1 species